AUACGAAGGGUGCAAGCGUUAAUCGGAAUUACUGGGCGUAAAGCGCGCGUAGGUGGUUCGUUAAGUUGGAUGUGAAAGCCCCGGGCUCAACCUGGGAACUGCAUCCAAAACUGGCGAGCUAGAGUACGGUAGAGGGUGGUGGAAUUUCCUGUGUAGCGGUGAAAUGCGUAGAUAUAGGAAGGAACACCAGUGGCGAAGGCGACCACCUGGACUGAUACUGACACUGAGGUGCGAAAGCGUGGGGAGCAAACAGGAUUAGAAACCCUAGUAGUCC
rnacentral:rRNA from 1 species